GCCAGAGCAGUCAGCACUCUCAAAGCUGCCUUUCUCUGUGCACUGUCCGUGAAUGAGGCAUCUGAAUCUGCUCUCAAGGGCUGGACCUCACACUGCUUGCCCUCAUUUUGCUGGUUUGAUUCCAGAUUUUAAAGGUAACUGCUGUGGUGAGGAGCACUUUCCACCAGCUUCCACUGGUCCAUUAACUGUUCCCUUACCUGGAUGAGCAGAGCAACACUGAGACCCUUACCUAGCAGCAGUGAGACCCAUGCACUGAUCCAGGUCUGAGGUCCUUCUUUGGGAGCCCUCUUUGAAGGAGAUCAGAAGAACAGCUACCUGGAGAAGGGCCUUUUCUGCAGUGGCACCCCAGCUCUGGAACUUGCUCCCCGGAGAGGUACGCAUAGUGCCGUCCCUUUAUUCAUUUUGGUACCAGACUAGAACCUUUUUAUUUUCCCUGCAUUUUAAGACUUAAUUGUGAUUUUAAUAUUGGUUUUUAUUAGAUUUAUACUGUAUUGUGUGCUGCCACUUUGCUUUGUAUCCCAAUUUUCAAAAAGGGUAGUAGAAAGGACAUGAGGAAUUAUAGACCGGUUAGCCUUACGUCCAUUGUAGGAAAAACAAUGGAAAGGCUCAUAAUAGAGAGAGAUCUAGUGAUGCUAGAUAGGGAAGGGAGGCUGACAGCCACACAACAGGGCUUCCACAAAAACUGAUUGAGUCCUGAAGUUAAUACCUUCUGUGGUUAAAAUCCCACUGUGAACAACCAAUCAAUCAGCAGGUUCCCAUCAGCUGGAAUGGGUGAACCAUGAAGCCUACUGGUCCAAAAGGUCUGAACAGAGACGGGUUGGGCCAAGUGCCCACAUUAUAUACCAGCGGUGGUCAGACUUGCUCAACAGAGGAGCCAUAUACAGUAAAUGUCAGAUGUUUGAGGGUUGCAAGUGGGUGCCUUCAGGCAGCAAAGUCAGAUGGCAAGUAGCAGAAAGUCAAAGAGCUGCAUGUGGUUCAUGAGCCCUGGUUUGGCCAAGCCUGUUAUAUACCCUCUGUUGUUUACAGCAAAGCAUACAUUGAUGCAGGUGUGAGUUUUCAAAUUACACGCCAGCUUUAGGGCCUUGUCUGCUUAUUGGCAAGAUGCUUCUUCUCACCCUAAGCCAGUACUGGCACUGCUAGCAGUCAAUGGAUAGAUGGGCAAGAUCACACUACACUUAUUGAGCAAGGUGGUGCUGCGGUCGAUGGGAGUAGGAGCAGCCUGUGCCAUAAUCCAGUUAACUUGGUCUAAAUCUUGGCCUAAGCCGAAGUCUUGAUAAGCCAGCACCUCCCCUUUAUGCCAGUAAAGGGGUCCAUCCUUUGUCCAUCUUCCCUGCCUAGAGACCUUGUCAAGUGGCCCAAGAUGGUCUACCUUCCAAGGAACCAGUAGGAACCAGCAGUAGGACUGUGCCUUGCAUGAUGCAUCUACAGCACCGUCCACUGUGGCUUCCUGUAACCCUCCAGACAAGGACAAGGCAGGAGGAGUUUGGAGGCAAGGAUUGCCCCACACUUCCCUUGCCCUCCAAACCAUGGAGAUGGCUGAUUUCAGCCAUCUGAGGGCUUUACCCUGCUUCUGAGGAAGAGGGACGAAGGUACCACUGACUCCCAGCAGAGCCUGGCUCCUACCCUCCCUUGUUCCAAAUCUGAAGCCUUAGUGCCAACUUCUGGCCACUUUUCUGAGGUCAGCGCGGUGGCUUUGAAUUCUUCUAUGUCUAUUUCUAGACUGUGGUUGGGUUCACAGGUUGUGACAAGUACCCUUGCGCAGUUCCUGCUCUUAGUGGUUUGCUGUCUCAGUGUGCCUGGCAGAUGAUCAGUCACAUCGUGGUAACUCUCUUCUCUCCCGCCAUUGCCUUUCCUCUCAGUCCUCCAGGUGGCAUCCCAGGGGGAAAUGAGGCUCCUGUCUUUGACAACCACGAUCACAAGCCAAGCUUGGCUUACCAAGGCUGUCAUGCAGUCUUUGCUCUGCAAACAGACCUGAUGCCCUGAUGGGUAGCAGAAAGGAGGAGGGCGAUGAUCCGCAUCCUCCCCUCCAGCUCCAGGGAGGACUGCCAGAGCAGGAGAGGGGUGCCUGAUCCAUGCUCAGGCAACAGGGGAUCCUGCCGGGCAGCACUGUGGGAGGAGCAGUGCUACUCAACUAAUAUUCCUUCUGGCCUCUCCAGGCACACCAGAGGAUAUCCUCCCUUGCACAGGUGGGAAGGUGUGAGAAUCAGCUGGGUGGGGAUGCUUGACUGGAGCCUGCGCUGCUCAGCUGAUUCCCUUGCUCAUCCUCCUUUCUUGCUCCCACUUGCAAGAGAGGUGUCCCCAACCAGGUGCCCACAUGAGAGCCUUUGCUGCAAGCAGCCGCAGAGAAGGGGUGUUCACCUCCCUUUCUUGCUUCUGCUUACCAAGGAGGUGCCUGCCAGUUGAGUCCUGCUGAACAGGGCAAGCGAUGAGGGAUCGUGUGGAACUUUUCCUUCCAUAUAGCCAGGUGGUUGUGAGCCACUCCUGAAAGAGCCUAAAGAAAGAGUAUGAAAGAUACUCCUGAAGAGUGUGGCCUAGGGGUCUCUUCGAAUUGUACAGAAUCUGGACUCAGCAAAGGCCUGAUAAAUGGUCUCCUAGACUGAAUGAAGAUUUUUAAAUCUCAACGCCUCUUAAAUCUCAACGUCUGUGUCACUGCCUCAUUCCACAUCCUGCUCUCUGUUAUGACAUGAGAAUGUCAUGUUGCCCUACACUAUGAAGUUGCUAAAUAAGGUAUAUAGAGCACUUUGAACUAUUAAGUAAAAGGAGUAUAUAAUCAUUAGCUAAAAUGAUUGCUGAUUCUGAAUCCAUAUUGCUCUGAGAAGAAAUCCUGAUAGAAAACACUCCUUUCUUUCCUGAACAAUCUUUGCCCCUUAUACUCUUGUGGAGUUGCUUUUUCUCCAGAAGCAACUAAAAGACCAGAUGGCACGUCGUCUGGAUGUACAGUCACCAGAUUGUACAUGUGGCUAGAGUGGGGCCAGUGCAAAGUCCAAGGAUCCAGGAACUGCCCUAGCAAAGAAUUUGCUGGGCAAGAAUGGGGAAUUUUCAGAAGCACAUCUUUAGCAGUCUAAGGGCGUCAGCCUCAGAAUGGCAAAUAGCUGAUCCACACGGAUCAGAAAAGCCGAGGGCAAGAGCAACGUGCAUUUGCUCAUGAAAGAGACUUCAUCCUUUCAUGAGCAAAUCCAAGGCACAUUGCCAAGAGCCAAACUGCUGAUUUGCUGCCACUCUCGCAUGUUUCCCUGGUAGCAUCAUGUUUUCCUCUGCUUUUCAAGGCUGCACACUUGUGUCAGUUAAGGUGCAAGUCUCAUGCUGCCACCUGGAAUGACCAAAUUUCAGGGUCAAGUUGUGCAUACAAGCUGCUCCCAGGCUUUUAUGUUUGCAUGUGCAACUCAUUUGUAGAGGAGGUUAUACUUUGUAUUGGAAUGUUCUUUAAUAUUUACUGAUUCAUAUGUUCUUUUCAUAUUCAUAUGUGAGCUUAAGUGGACUCCAGGGAUGGUGGAGGACAGGAAGGCCCGAAGGAAUGUUGUCCGUGGGGUCGCGAUGGGUCGGACACGACUUCGCGACUAACAACACCACCACCAACAACAUGUUCUUUUCAGUUACGUACCUGUUUCCUGGAGGUUGCUGCAUCAUCUGUGGAAAUGGAUGUUUGGUACCAUUCUGACAGAUAAAAGACUAAUAUUAGAACAUUGGAAGGAUAAUUGCCCAAUAGAUUGAGGACCUAAUAAAGUUUUAGCAUUUGAAUGGAUGACAUAUAGGCACCACUCUCAAAUGAACCUAUAUGGUUGCUUGGUCUGCUUGUAUUAAAGUUUACUGUAUGUAUUAUUGAUACUCAUACAUUCAAUUGCUCUCUUUCUCUCUUUUUCUCUCUCUGCCCAGCAUCAUGAGAAGCUAUGGUAAUUUUAUAACUUUGUGAUUUUUUUAAAACAUUGUUGGUCUCUUGUGUCAUCGAACCCCACUUUCAGAAUUUCAGCAUAGUACAUUUGGAGGGAUACAAUGGCUUGCUGCAAGGUUUCCAUGUUUCACUGCGGUUUCUUGUGAUCGCUUGACCCAGGAGUAGCAACAGAAGGGGCUGCCCUCGGCAUCUAAUCUUUACUAUACAUAGCUCCCUGGCAAUAUAUGCAUCAUCCCUUGCUUUGUUCUGUUGGCUGAGCGCUGUGCCCAUCAUCUUGUUUACAUUCUGAAACAGGGAAAAAACAGGUGAAUGGAUGGAGGAAGCAGAAGAAACCAUGGCAAAAAUGUUGAUUUUAAUUCAAUAAAAGACCCUUUGGAGUGGGAAUACCUAGGAAGUAUUAUGGAGGUGAAGGUACACUCAGGAGAGAGAAGAGGGAGAACAUACCUUAAAACCUCAGCAGACCAAUCAGGAAGCAACAGCUGAGGUAGCUAGGGAACAAUGCAGUGCAAAGAGGGGUUGCUUCAGGGGCUGUUGGGAUACCUGGUGGGAGCAGGAGAAUGGAACAGGAAGCAUGGAAACCAUGUUUCCCUGGACACCAUGCCUUUAUACAAUGCUGUUGAAAAUCAUCAUAGCAGUACAUUGUAAGAGGGCUUUUGUUUCUGUUUUAUAAUGGGAGUGACUCACCCCUUGCUAUACCUCCAGCUCCAGUUCCUAAAUACAGGCAGGUAACAAUGCAGAUGGGAGAGGAAAAAGCCAUUACUGCAUUUUAGGACACAGUCUAAUGGCCAUUAGAUGCUGGCUGGCUGGCUGGCUGGCUGCAAUCUUGGGAAAACCGCCUGGGAGCACAGUGGGCGCACCAUCUCUGGGGGUGGGAGCGCCCCUGCCUGAGCAGCCUGCAGAGUUCUUUCCAUGGGGUUCCUAAGAUGGGGCAGGUGCUGCAGGGGAGUUCAGUGGGGACAGUGAGGGAAGCAGCAAAGCACUGCUACUGUGCAAAGAAUCCAGACAGGGCUUCAGCCCUCCUCCUGGCCAGCAGGGGCAAAAGAGUUAGAUUGCUGAAAUCUGCCAGUUAAAUGCUCUGGAGAGUGAAGGGGGUACCGAGGCAAACCUAGCCUCUGCACUCUGGUCACGUUCAAUUAGAAUUCCCAUAAACCCCUGAGUGUGGAGGGAUAUGGGCAGCCCCAAGGGACUGUGCCCUUAGUAAAUGUGCACAGGUCUCCCUCAAAGGUGAUUAAAAGGGGGGAAAUGAUGCUAAUUUUGUGCAAAUAUUCCCAAAGGUGAAAAUGAACAUGUAUCUUAAAGAAGAAUAUGAACAAAUCUUCCCAAACAUGGAAAAAAUCUACAAAAUAAACUCUGCUUCACAAAUGA